rnacentral:rRNA from 2 species
AGACCCGAAACCCGGUGAUCUAGCCAUGGGCAGGUUGAAGGUUGGGUAACACUAACUGGAGGACCGAACCGACUAAUGUUGAAAAAUUAGCGGAUGACCUGUGGCUGGGGGUGAAAGGCCAAUCAAACCGGGAGAUAGCUGGUUCUCCCCGAAAGCUAUUUAGGUAGCGCCUCGUGAAUUCAUCUCCGGGGGUAGAGCACUGUUUCGGCUAGGGGGCCAUCCCGGCUUACCAACCCGAUGCAAACUGCGAAUACCGGAGAAUGUUAUCACGGGAGACACACGGCGGGUGCUAACGUCCGUCGUGAAGAGGGAAACAACCCAGACCGCCAGCUAAGGUCCCAAAGUCAUGGUUAAGUGGGAAACGAUGUGGGAAGGCCCAGACAGCCAGGAUGUUGGCUUAGAAGCAGCCAUCAUUUAAAGAAAGCGUAAUAGCUCACUGGUCGAGUCGGCCUGCGCGGAAGAUGUAACGGGGCUAAACCAUGCACCGAAGCUGCGGCAGCGACACUCAGGUGUUGUUGGGUAGGGGAGCGUUCUGUAAGCCUGCGAAGGUGGCCUGUGAGGGUUGCUGGAGGUAUCAGAAGUGCGAAUGCUGACAUAAGUAACGAUAAAGCGGGUGAAAAGCCCGCUCGCCGGAA